rnacentral:rRNA from 1 species
GUACAUCCAGAGAACUUAGCAGNGAUGCUUUGGUGCCUUCGGGAACUCUGAGACAGGUGCUGCAUGGCUGUCGUCAGCUCGUGUUGUGAAAUGUUGGGUUAAGUCCCGNAACGAGCGCAACCCUUAUCCUUUGUUGCCAGCGGUUCGGCCGGGAACUCAAAGGAGACUGCCGGUGAUAAACCGGAGGAAGGUGGGGAUGACGUCAAGUCAUCAUGGCCCUUACGGCCAGGGCUACACACGUGCUACAAUGGCGCAUACAAAGAGAAGCGACCUCGCGAGAGCAAGCGGACCUCAUAAAGUGCGUCGUAGUCCGGAUUGGAGUCUGCAACUCGACUCCAUGAAGUCGGAAUCGCUAGUAAUCGUAGAUCAGAAUGCUACGGUGAAUACGUUCCCGGGCCUUGUACACACCGCCCGUCACACCAUGGGAGUGGGUUGCAAAAGAAGUAGGUAGCUUAACCUUCGGGAGGGCGCUUACCACUUUGUGAUUCAUGACUGGGGUGAAGUCGUAACAAGGUAGGCGUAGCGAG